GCAAAGAAUGCUAGUGAGACAGUUUUUCCCGGGGUAGAAUGGAAAGGGUGUUAUUUUCACUAUGGUCAAUGUAUUUGGAGAAAAGUCCAACAACUGGGUCUGCAAACGUCAUACCGAGAAGAAGAAACACGCAAAUUCGUUAGACGGUGUAUCGGGAUACCAUUACUGCCCGUGACUGAUAUUGAUGACGCAUGGAUCCAAAUAAUGGCCGAGGUACCAGAUAAUGAGAAAUUUCAACAACUGGCCGACUAUAUGGUUACCCAAUGGUUAGACGGUCAAUUUACUCAAGUACAAUGGAACCACAACCAAACCACGCGAAGAACCAACAAUUCUUUAGAGGGGUGGCACGGGCGUCUAAAAAAAUUAAUUGGAAAAGCUCAUCCGAAUAUUUUUGAAGUGAUGGCAUUUUUGAAAGAAGAGCAAAAGACGAUCGAAAUUGAGUUGUUGCAGUAUUCGAGUGGCCAGCGACUUUCACCUAAACGGAAAAAAUACACAGAUAUCAACAGAAAGAUCGAAGAUGCAAAACAUAGAUAUGAAGAAGGAGGAUUGAAUUUGUUAGAAUUUUUGGACUAUGUUGGACAUUUUAUGCGUGCCAAAAGUUAAAAUUAUUUGUAAUGUUAUGUGUUAAAGAUUGUUAUAAA